GUCUAUGGCCAUACUACACUGUGCUUGAUCUUGGAAGCUAAGCAGGCUGAGGCUUGGUUAGCACUUGGAUGGGAGACCACCUGGGAAUACUGGGUGUUGUAGGCU
rnacentral:rRNA from 1 species